rnacentral:lncRNA from 1 species
UAAGAGGGAAGGAACUACCUCCAAUAAGGCAGUUAGAGAAAGGAACACAUACAUGGCCUUUAUUUGAUGUUGGAGUUUAGUCAUUAAAAAGAGAAAUACUUUUUUUUGUAGCCGUAAAAUUUAGUGGUGGGAAUUAGGGUCUUGUGUAGUUACAUACAAGGAAUAAGGUUUAUUUAACAAUGUUGCAGUAAAGAUGCUAAGAAAAGAACUGGACAAAUCGAGAUAAGCAGUGUCCCUCACAGAUGUAUUUCUCAAAAUCUGAUGGUCCUGAAUUGGAAUCUCCACUCAUCAGUUUUAAGCAUAUGAAUUUUAACAAUCCUCUGUAGGUGAUUCUGAGUUAUAGUUUUAAAACUACUUGUUUAAAUUCUAAAAUAACAUUGCUUUAUUUUGUUGUGUAACAUGUUACUAGGUACAUAAUAAAUUUGAAGUUGUUGACAUUUUCAAC